AUUGAACGCUGGCGGCAGGCCUAACACAUGCAAGUCGAACGAGUGGCGGACGGGUGAGUAAUGUCUGGGAAACUGCCUGAUGGAGGGGGAUAACUACUGGAAACGGUAGCUAAUACCGCAUACCAUCGGAUGUGCCCAGAUGGGAUUAGCUAGUAGGUGGGGUAAAGGCUCACCUAGGCGACGAUCCCUAGCUGGUCUGAGAGGAUGACCAGCAAAACUGGAACGGAGACACGGUCCAGAAUACUACGGGAGGCAGAAGUGGGGAAUAUUGCACAAUGGGGGAAAGCCUGAUGCAGCCAUGACGCGUGUAUGAAGAAGGCCUUCGGGUUGUAAAGUACUUUCAGCGGGGAGGCGUUACCCGCAGAAGAAGCAACGGCUAACACCGUGCCAGCAGCCGCGGUAAUAC
rnacentral:rRNA from 1 species